rnacentral:rRNA from 1 species
ACUCAAAUGAAUUGACGGGGGCUCGCACAAGCGGUGGAGCAUGUGGUUUAAUUCGACGAUAACCGGAGAACCUUACCAGGGUUUGACAUCUACCGAAAGUCCUGGAAACAGGACCGUGCCCGCAAGGGAGCGGUAAGACAGGUGUUGCACGGCUGUCGUCAGCUCGUGGCGUGAGCUGUACCCUUAAGUGGGUAAACGAGCGAAACCCUCAUCGUCUGUUGGAUUUUUCAGACGAGACUGCCGGCUUUCCGCCGGAGGAAGGUGGGGAUGACGUCAAGUCAGCGUGGCCCUUACACCCUGGGCUACACACGUGCUACAAUGCCAUCGACAAUGGGUUGCAAAAUCGCAAGAUGGAGCUAAUCCCAUCAAAAGAUGGCCCAGUUCGGAUUGGAGGCUGCAACUCGCCUCCAUGAAGCCGGAAUCGCUAGUAAUCGUGGGUCAGCUAUACCACGGUGAAUACGUUCUCGAGCCUUGUACACACCGCCCGU